UACGGGAGAUGCAAGCGUUAUCCGGAAUCAUUGGGCGUAAAGCGCCUGUAGGUUGUUUAAUAAGUCUGUUGUUAAAGACUAGGGCUUAACCCUAGAAAAGCAAUGGAAACUACUAGACUAGAGUAUGGCAGGGGUAGAGGGAGUUUCUAGUGUAGCGGUGAAAUGCGUAGAUAUUAGAAAGAACACCGGUGGCGAAAGCGCUCUACUGGACCAUUACUGACACUCAGAGGCGAAAGCUAGGGUAGCAAAAGGGAUUAGAUACCCCUGUAGUCCUAGCCGUAAACGAUGGAUACUAGAUGUUGCGCUUUAUGUGCAGUAUCGUAGCUAACGCGUUAAGUAUCCCGCCUGGGGAGUACGCUCGCAAGGGUG
rnacentral:rRNA from 1 species